CGGUGGAAAAACCAUUCUCAUAUGGACAGAAGGUGUUACUCCCGUAUCCACAGAAGUCGAUGGCUUGUCACAUGUGACUCAACAAAAGUGUAUUCUACCUCUAUUUCCUCUUACUCUUCCUCGAGGAUAUAGGUAACGACCACGAUUGAAUCCUUGAUAGCCCCUUUGAGCUUGGCGUUGUUGAUACUCUUGCACUUCUCGAUCACGGAACUCAUGACAAUUCUUAAUCCAUUGAGCCCGAAGUUCUUGAGAAUGAUUCAUUGAAAGGGAAUAAUUCUCUUAAAGAUUUUGAGAACUUUGCCCUUCUUGGUGUCAAGAAGGAUGUCUUUGACGAACUUGCUCUUCUUUAUGAGCUAAUUCUAUUUUCAUCCUUUCCUUCUUGAAAAUGGCUGCACCUUCAGCAUCAAAUACAUCAUUGCAUUAAGGGCACAAAGAAAUAUCUCGAUCCUUUAAUUUCUUAUGCAUAAAAAUUUCCAACAAUCCCUCACCUACUCCAAGGUAAACUUGUCAAACACUCCCUUCAAAAUCCCCAAAGCUAAAUCAAACUCGAAAGACAUAAAAACAGCCAUGUUUACCCCUAUGAAAUAGGGUUCAGGAAAAUUCGCUUCAGCAUCAAAAGGAUCAGUAUCGACCUUUAUCUCUUUUUUCCAUCAUCAAACUUCGAUCGUCCUUCUGAAAUCGCUUCUUGAAUCAAGUCCC